AGCAGCCAUCGUUUAAAGAAAGCGUAAUAGCUCACUGGUUCAAUGGCGCUGCGCCGAAAAUGUAACGGGGCUAAGCAUGCUGCCGAAGCUUCGGAUUUGUCUCUGACAACUGGUAGGGGAGCGUUCUCUGCGGGCUGAAGCGGAACCGAAAGGUUUCGUGGACUGCAGAGAAGUGAUUAUGCUGACAUGAGUAACGAUAAAAUAUGUGAAAAACAUAUUCGCCGUAAAUCCAAGGUUUCCUGGGUAAAGGUAAUCUUCCCAGGGUUAGUCGGACCCUAAGGCCAGGCUGAAAGGCGUAGCUGAUGGGAAACGGGUUAAUAAUCCUGUACUUGUGCGAUUGUGCGAAGAAGGGACGCAGGAUGGUAGACAGGCCGGUUUUUGGAAUCCGGUGCAAGUGUGUAGGCAUGCUCCGCAGGCAAAUCCGCGGGGAUGAGCCGAGGCACGAGUCCGUGGGCGUAAGCCCUGAAGCUGUUGAGCCACGGCUGCCAAGAAAAGCUUCUAAGUUUAGAUCGCGCGAACCGUACCGCAAACCAACUCAGGUGGAUGGGAUGAAUAAUCCAAGGCGCUCGAGAGAACUCUGGCCAAGGAACUCGGCAAAUUGACCCCGUACCUUCGGAAUAAGGGGUGCUCCCCACGGUGAGACAAAUUCCUGUUCAGCCCCGGGGAGCCGCAGAGAAAUGGUGGUGGCGACUGUUUACUAAAAACAUAGGUCUGUGCGAAGUCCUACAGACGACGUAUACGGACUGACGCCUGCCCGGUGCCGGAAGGUUAAAAGGAGGAGUCAGCGCAAGCGAAGCUCCGAUUUGAAGCCCCGGUAAACGGCGGCCGUAACUAUAACGGUCCUAAGGUAGCGAAAUUCCUUGUCGGGCAAGUUCCGACCUGCACGAAUGGCGUAACGAUCUCCACGCUGUCUCGGCCAGAGACUCGGUGAAAUUGAAGUCGCGGUGAAAAUGCCGUGUACCCGCAGAAAGACGGAAAGACCCUGUGCACCUUUACUAUAGCUUGACAUUGGGUUUUGAACCUGCAUGUGUAGGAUAGGUGGGAGGCUGUGAAAGCUGUACGCCAGUAUGGCCGGAGCCACCCGUGAAAUACCACCCUUGUUUGUUCAGGACCCUAACUCGCAGCUGUAAUCCAGCGCGAAGACAGUGUCUGGUGGGUAGUUUGACUGGGGCGGUCGCCUCCUAAAGAGUAACGGAGGCAUGCAAAGGUUCCCUCAGGCUGAUUGGAAACCAGCCGUUGAGUGCAAGCGCAUAAGGGAGCCUGACUGCAAGAGAGACAUCUCGAACAGAUACGAAAGUAGGUGCUAGUGAUCCGGUGGUCCCGAAUGGAAGGGCCAUCGCUCAUUGGAUAAAAGGUACGCCGGGGAUAACAGGCUGAUCGCAUCCAAGAGUUCACAUCGACGAUGCGGUUUGGCACCUCGAUGUCGGCUCAUCACAUCCUGGGGCUGAAGCAGGUCCCAAGGGUACGGCUGUUCGCCGUUUAAAGUGGUACGCGAGCUGGGUUUAAAACGUCGUGAGACAGUUUGGUCCCUAUCUUCUGUGGGCGUAGGAGAAUUGAGAGGGUUUGUCCCUAGUACGAGAGGACCGGGAUGAACGCACCACUGGUGGAUCAGUUGUCGCGCCAGCGGCAUAGCUGAGUAGCUAUGUGCGGAAUGGAUAACCGCUGAAAGCAUCUAAGCGGGAAGCCAGCCUCGAGAUAAGUUCUCCCUGUCGCAAGACACUAAAGGGCCGAUGAAGACUACAUCGUUGAUAGGCCGGAGGUGGAAGCGCUGCGAAGCGUGGAGCUGACCGGUACUAAUAGCCCGUGCGCCUUAUAUUU
rnacentral:rRNA from 1 species